UCUGGCAAACCCUAACGCGUGAGUACCACGGAGAAGGGCGGCGGCCGCCCCGCGCGCAUCCAAGCAGCCGAGGCCGGCGGCGCGGUUCGAGGCUCGCUUCUGCUCCGACGGCCCCUCCUCCACGAAGCGCGCGCGCGCCCGUUCCGGACCCUCUUCGCGGCGGACGCGCACCACCUGUUCGACCGUUGGCCGGACCAGCCCGCUCCGACGCCAGAGCGCGCUCUAGACGGCCGCGCGCGGGUACCCUCGUCAACCCCCAUAGUAAGACACGCAGAAGCAGGGAGCCAAUCCUCUGGUUGAAUUUGUCCAUAGCAUCAGCCAUCCUGCCAUUCAAAUGCAUUUUUGCACGAUGGGGAAGAUGGCUGGUGCUAUGGAUAAAUUCAACCCGAUGGUUGAGCAUGCCCGACUGGAAGAAGAAGCCUUGCUUGGAGUUGAGUGAGCCGGCAAAUCAGUUUGAAACAGGGAGCCAGUUAAUCCGGUUUAAUUUGUCCAUAGCAUCAGCGAUCCCGCCAUUCUGUGGUCAAUGCUGCCCUAUGGCACGAUGCGGGAUAGCUGGUGCUUUGGAUAAAUGCUGGUGCUUUGGAUAAAUUCAACCCGAUGGCUGUGCAUGCCCGAAUGAAAGAAGAAGCCUUGCUUAAAGUUAAGUGAGCCGACAGUCAGUUUGAAGCAGGGAGUCAGCUCAUCUCUGUCACCUGGUUGAUUUUCCUAUAUCGUCAUACAACCUGUCAACAGAAUUUUGCAGAGUGGGUAGGUUGGAUGUUGCUGUGGACGCAUUCCAUUGGGUGACUCUUAUCCGACAGCCUGACUACCACAGGACGUAUUUCCCUUUUAGUUGCCUGAUUCAUGGUUAUUGUACUCACGCUGACUCUACUUUUAAUCUGCCUUACUCUAACUGAAUAUCCUGUUAUCUAGAAAAAGAUAGUUGAAAUCUAGACCUAGAUAACUCUUCCUUGUUUUAGCAGUUUGAAGCAGCAUACAUGGUAUCAUGGUCCCAAGGACCAAGAUCUAGACAGUGCAAAGGUGAUGAAGAGGAGUCUUCUAUUGGAUUGAACGAGAAAUGUAACUGUUUUCACGUGAUUCAAGACAUCCAGGGUGUUUGUACCGUGUCCUGCAAAUGGUUCAUAUGUAUUUGGUUGUCCUUCAGGUUUAGUUUGCUGUGGCAAAUUCUGCUACUCCUUCCGUAAAAAAAUAUAAGAGCGUUUAAGAUUACUAAAGUAGUGAUCUAAACGCUCUUAUAUUUCUUUACAGAGGGAGUAGAAUUUGGUACAGUGAACUAUGGUCAUCUAUGUCUUUUAGUUUUGCAAGUGUGCUAGAAGGUUAGAAAGCUCGUUCAUGUAUGAAAUUUGUACGGUUCUAAACUUAAAAAUUCAGGGGCAUUUUCACCCACAGUAUUGUUGUGGUCAUAAUAGCACAUCUCAAAAUUAUUGAGGGCCGGUUCUACAAUAUUAUUUUGAAAUACAAAAAGCUUGCAGCAGAUAUCCUCUUUUGGAAUUAUAAGUGCAAUUCUGAAUGGUGUUUUUGAGUCCCCUCUGUUUCUCCUGGGCAUUAAUCUAUGCACAACAACCUCUUCUCUGCUGGAUGACAAACAAAGUUCGCAUCUCAGAUAUUUGCUAGAUUUGCAUGAGCCAUUUUGCUGUCAGCUAAAUCGUUCAAGUGAGCUGUAAGAUCAUGUUUCCGAAAUUUGGUGCAUUUUAACCUUUAUGCAUGUUUGGCAUGAAAAGGAGCUUGACAUUCAUCCUUUUCAGUUUUUAGGGGUGGUCUUCUAAAUUAGCACAGAAAAGGAACAAUAUAUUUUUUAUCACUCACCCGUUAUCAUAAUUUUGUUGAAGGAUGUAUCCGGAAGAGGCUAUGCUUGUCAGUUGAACAAUUUCAUAUAGUAUAUAUGUUAACUUCCGUGAAUUGACUUCUUAUAUUCCAAUUCAUGGGCGCAGCAGGGACUACCAUUGCGCCAUCGUUUUUGCUGGAGCAUCCAUCCGUGAAACAUCCGUUGAAAGGCAUCUUCAACCAGCUAACUGUUGAAUCCCCGUCCUCCAUCCAUGGACAUUACCAAGGGCAGGCUUCAUUUGCUACUUGCUUGAAUUUUCUACCAAAGGCAGGCUUCAUUUGCUACAGGCUUCAUCCAUGGACAUUACUAAGGCCAGGCUUCACUACCAAGGGAUGUUGUGCCCCUAUGCUGUAUGCUUUGAUGGAUCUUUUCACUACAUAGUUCGGACCUCUGUUCGAUGUGUAUGCUACUCUGCCAUUUAUUUGGUUUUAUUUAUAAAGUCGGGUUUCGGCCUUUCUCUCCAGAAGAGAAGUGGAAAACAAA